rnacentral:rRNA from 1 species
GACGAACGCUGGCGGCGUGCCUAAUACAUGCAAGUAGAACGCAGUUGCGAACGGGUGAGUAACGCGUAGGUAACUGCCCCAUAGCGGGGGGUAACCAUUGGAAACGAUAGCUAAUACCGCCUUCUGUGAGAUGGACCUGCUUUGUAUUAGCUAGUUGGUGAGGUAAAGGCUCACCAAGGCGACGAUACAUAGCCGACCUGAGAGGAGGAUCGGCCACACUGGGACGGAGACACGGCCCAGACUCCGACGGGAGGCAGCAGUAGGGAAUCUUCGGAAAUGGACGGAAGUCUGACCGAGCAACGCCGCGGGAGUGAAGAAGGUUUUCGGGUCGUAAAGCUCUGUUGUUAGAGAAGCGGUAACUAAACAGAAAGGGACGGCUAACUACGUGCCAGCAGCCGCGGUAAUUC